UACGUAGGUGGCAAGCGUUAUCCGGAAUUACUGGGCGUAAAGCGCACGCAGGCGGUCUUUUAAGUUUGACGUGAAAGCUCCCGGCUUAACUGGGAGAGGUCGUUGAAUACUGGAAGACUUGAGGAAAUGAGAGGGGUGUAGAAUUCCUGGUGUAGUGGUGGAAUGCGUAGAUAUCAGGAGGAACACCGGUGGCGAAGGCGCUCAUCUGGCCCAAUACUGACGCUGAGGCGCGAAAGCUAGGGGAGCAAACGGG
rnacentral:rRNA from 1 species